GACGAACGCUGGCGGCGUGCUUAACACAUGCAAGUCGAACGGAAAGGCCCUGCUCUUGCGGGGUGCUCGUGUGGCGAACGGGUGAGUAACACGUGAGUAUCAUGUCCUUGUCUUUGGGAUAACUCUAGGAAACUGGGGCUAAUAUAGGAUAGGAGCUCUUGAUGCAUGGUGGUGGUUGGAAAGUUUCGGCGGUUGGGGAUGGAAUAGCGGCUUAUCAGCUUGAUGGUGGGGUAGUGGCUUACCACGGCUUUGACGGGUAGCCGGCCUGAGAGGUGGACCGGCCUCAAUGCUACUGAGGGACGGCCCAGACGGCUACCGGAGGCAACAGUGGAGAACAUUGCGCAAUGGGCGCAAGUCAGAGACAACAACGCCGCGUGCGUAAUGACGGCCUACGAGUUAUGAACCACUGUCUCAUGAGACAAGGCGUUAGUGACGGUAAUUAGUAAAGAAGCACCGGCUAACUACGUG
rnacentral:rRNA from 1 species